AAAGCAGUGAUAUGUGUGUAUCGGCGUUGUGCAAAAACAAACUGCACUUUGAUCGAAAGAAAUCUCUGCAAUAUUAAUGUGACAUGGGGAAGGUGGGCAGUUGUGUUCCAUUUUUUUACCAUUGGAAUCUUUCAACAAUCAUUUUCCCCACAUUU